rnacentral:rRNA from 1 species
AGCAGUCGCCACGGGAAUACGUAGGUGGCAAGCGUUGUCCGGAAUUAUUGGGCGUAAAGGGCUCGCAGGCGGUUUCUUAAGUCUGAUGUGAAAGCCCCCGGCUCAACCGGGGAGGGUCAUUGGAAACUGGGAAACUUGAGUGCAGAAGAGGAGAGUGGAAUUCCACGUGUAGCGGUGAAAUGCGUAGAGAUGUGGAGGAACACCAGUGGCGAAGGCGACUCUCUGGUCUGUAACUGACGCUGAGGAGCGAAAGCGUGGGGAGCGAACAGGAUUAGAUACCCGAGUAGUCCCUGUCUCUUAUAC